rnacentral:rRNA from 1 species
AUUGAACGCUGGCGGCAGGCCUAACACAUGCAAGUCGAGCGGAGCGGCGGACGGGUGAGUAAUGCCUAGGAAUCUGCAUGGUAGUGGGGGAUAACGUCCGGAAACGGGCGCUAAUACCGCAUACUAUCAGAUGAGCCUCGGUCGGCUUAGCUAGUUGGUGGGGUAAAGGCCUACCAAGGCGACGAUCCGUAACGGGUCUGAGAGGAUGAUCAGUCACACUGGAACUGAGACACGGGCCAGACGCCUACGGGAGGCAGCAGUGGGGAAUAUUGGGCAAUGGGCGCAAGCCUGACGGAGCAACGCCGCGUGUAUGAAGAAGGCCUUCGGGUUGUAAAGUUCUGUCAUCGGGGAGGCGUUACCCGCAGAAGAAGCACCGGCUAACUCCGUGCCAGCAGCCGCGGUAAUUC